CUGUAGACGUUCCGUGCAAAAUCAGACAGAAGCGGCAGGACCGAGAGACGUGAUCGUGGCAGUUCUGCAGUUUAGUGACUUUGGUUUUCAUUUCAGAAUGAACUACCACCAUGUUGUGCUCUUCUGCUUCUCAUCAGCAGUGAUCAAUGGAAACGCAGCCCCCAACAAUCCUCAUACCAAAAUGGAAGGCCUAGAUUUCUUCAGUCAAUAUAAGCUUAACGUGCAGCCAGGAAGCAGAAUAUAUCUCUGUAGGAACGACUGCAGGAAGGAAGACAUCCUCGUAGAAACACAAAGGGAAUCAAUGCAGACUGGCAGAUACAGAAUUAGAUACGACAAAACGGACAACAAAGUGCACGUCGUCAUCACAGAUCUGAUCCCGUCUGACACGGGAAGCUACAAAGUUGGCGUGGGCGAAUAUUCCCCCGGUUCAUACAAAGAGUUUAAGAUCAAAGUUAGAGCUCGAUGUGAGGAAGUCGUCCAUGGAGAGCAGCAAGUCUACAGCGGCACUGUUGGAGGAAACAUCACAAUCCAGUGCUCCUUGUCUGCACAUGCUUUAAACAGGAAGUUCCUCUGUCGGGACACAUGUCACACAAUUCUCUUUGAAACCAUUUCUGAGAGAGUCGGGAGCAACAAAUAUGAAAUCACAUACGGGAACAACGGGCUCUUUAAUGUAACCAUCACACAGCUGACCUGGUCGGACUCAGGACGCUACAGUUGCGGCGUGGGACGACAGUUUCAAACAAAUCAAUGUCAGGUGUUCGAGAUCACAGUUACGGGUGGUGAGUUUCUAAUGGAAGUCAUGAAGAUGUCCCUGCGUGUUUCUGGAGGCUUGAAGAAAGUGUUUACUCUAAAAAAUCUCGUAGAUAUUGACAAAAAUAAGAUUAAGAGUGCAACAUGGCCACCCGUUGAGUCCAAACCAAUCUGGGCCAGCGUGACUGACAUUUUUUCUAGUUAGCUCAGUUAGCCCUGCAGCUAGUGGUCAUGACUUGGAGUUAGGAGCAACAUCACAAAUGUCCAUUCCCCACAUUCUAUUGGUAAUCUCUAUGAAUUAUCAGAUGUUUUCAAGUAAAAUUCUUACGUAUUGCACAUUUAAAACAAGCUUUUCUGUGGAAGGAGUCAAACUUUUCCUUGAGUCCAGAAUGAACAAAUUAAAUCUGUCUAGCUUGAUUUGAGUUUGUGCAUUUAAAGCAUUUUGUUGCAGACUUCUUUGAUUUCAUUUGGUCUUGUGUCAAAUGUCCCAGUUAGUUUGUAUUGUAUCAAUCAAUCUGCUGAUUGGAUUUCAGUAUUAAUAUUACAGUCAAUUUGUCCUGCAACGUGGUACCACCCGAAAUUAAGUUGAUGUUUUUUUUUUUUAUCCAAACCAAAUCAUUUCAGCCAGUGUGCCACUAGAAAAAGUAUCUCCCAUAGAAUUAUGUUGGGGAAAUGGUUGCAGUAUCAGACUCUUUUAUGUCUUUUUUAAGUUUCCUUCCAUUACUUUGAUUUUAUAAGAGAAAAACAUAUGAAUGUAAUUGUAAAGUUCAGUCUUUGUAUUGAGGAGCUGAGGGAAAAUCUCUACAACGAGAGAAGGAAUCAAAUUGUCAGACUUUGAUGGUUGUCCAUUGAAAUCUUGAGUUUAAAGUCCAGAAAAAAAGUCAGAACUCAAAUAGUAAGUACAUUUACGUAAGUACUACACUUAACUACAAUUUUAAGGUGCUUGUGCUCCAUUUAUAACGUGGAUAAUCGGUCCAGUACAUUUAAUAUCAUAUCAGCAUCAAAAGGUUUUUAGUGGAAGCCCCCCAAGUAAAUGAAUCUCUCUUUAGUUGUUGGUGAUUUCUCAUUGAUUGAUCGGUUGUUUCCUCUCUCGUGUCUCUGAAGCAGGCGGCGCCUUGCGUCCACUCGUCUGUCUGACUGCGGUCGUGCUGUUGGUCGGUUGCGUGCUGCUCCUCUACAAACAGAGGAUCAGAAGUGUUGAGUGUGAGUUGAUCUGUCUGCUCUUAUCUGCUCUUUGAAGUAAUUACAACCAGACAACACACUAGUAAAUCCCCUCUGUCGUACUUUCUGUUCACAGAUGUAAACACCAGGGGAAGUGAAGGAAACCCGGAGGUGACUUUCUUUAAUUCUUUCAAUCUGAUUAUCAUCUGGGCCAUACAGUGGCUGCCCAUGUAUAGCUUGUCACUUCGGUAAAGUUUCUCUUUGUUGUUUGUUUUUCAGACUGCUAUCUAUGACGACUGUGCUCCCUUCUCCACAUAUGAGGGAUCAACUUACUGGGAACUUGAUCCACAGAGCAGAGAUCACACCCCGUACUCUACACUAGACACGCCGACAUAUGUGUAUGUUCUACCUUCACAAGAACGAGCUCAAAGUUCAGCUGACAGAAUAAAAUGAAGUACUUGAAGUUAAUUUCUUCCAGUUUUCUUAUUUUUUUCUGCUCUGAGUUUUUUGCUGUUCAACACAUCACACUCAUCCAUCUCCAG
ensembl:lncRNA